GUUUAGGGGUAAACCUGAGAAACCCGAAAAGUCGAAGGGAGAAAUUCACCGCGGUUCGACGAAGGUGACGUUUUGACGCGUGACUGCGCUCUUCGGACGCGCGGCUCCGUCGAUUCGUUUUUUAUCGACGACGAACGCGUGCACUUUUCUCCCGGUAGGACGUCGCGAUCCGUUGGGUGUCGGUCUACGGCUGACGGUGGAGACCGCGAGUCGUUUUUCGAAACGUACGCGCGGACCCGUUUGCACCCCGACCGACUUGCUCGACGGUAUACGAACGGUUUGGGGCCGCUUUUAAAGCGUUCGACUCCGGCUUUCGGGCCGCGAAGUUCUCGGACAGACCCUUAAACCGAUCUGCGACGCUAUAGCUUUGGGUACUUUCAGGGCCCGUCUUGAAACACGGACCAAGGAGUCUAGCAUAUACGCGAGUCAUUGGGAAUCACUAAACCUAAAGGCGUAAUGAAAGUAAAACUUUUCCUCGCGGAAAGUUAGGGAAGACGGGCGGUUUGCCGUUAAAAGCGGCCGUCCCGCAUUCCCGGGGUGUCUCGUUCUCAUUGCGAGAUGAGGCGCACCAAGAGCGUAUACGCUGGGACCCGAAAGAUGGUGAACUAUGCCUGGUCAGGACGAAGUCAGGGGAAACCCUGAUGGAGGUCCGUAGCGAUUCUGACGUGCAAAUCGAUCGUCGGAACUGGGUAUAGGGGCGAAAGACUAAUCGAACCAUC
rnacentral:rRNA from 1 species